rnacentral:rRNA from 1 species
UGCCCGCAACAGAGGGAUAACCCGGCGAAAGUCGGACUAAUACCUCAUAAAACAGGGGUUCCGCAUGGGGCUAUUUGUUAAAGAUUUAUUGGUUGCGGAUGGGCAUGCGUACCAUUAGGUAGUUGGUGAGGUAACGGCUCACCAAGCCAUCGAUGGUUAGGGGUUCUGAGAGGAAGGUCCCCCACACUGGUACUGAGACACGGACCAGACUCCUACGGGAGGCAGCAGUGAGGAAUAUUGGUCAAUGGGCGAGAGCCUGAACCAGCCAAGUCGCGUGAAGGAUGACUGCCCUAUGGGUUGUAAACUUCUUUUACAGGGGAAUAAAAUGAGAUACGUGUAUUUUAUUGCAUGUACCUUGUGAAUAAGCAUCGGCUAACUCCGUGCCAGCAGCCGCGGUAAUACGGAGGAUGCGAGCGUUAUCCGGAUUUAUUGGGUUUAAAGGGUGCGUAGGUGGGCUGUUAAGUCCGCGGUGAAAGUUUGUCGCUUAACGAUAAAAUUGCCGUUGAAACUGGUAGUCUUGAGUAUAGAUGAAGUAGGCGGAAUGCGUGGUGUAGCGGUGAAAUGCAUAGAGAUCACGCAGAACUCCGAUUGCGAAGGCAGCUUACUAAGGUAUAACUG